rnacentral:rRNA from 1 species
CCUACGGGUGGCAGCAGUGAGGAAUAUUGGUCAAUGGACGAGAGUCUGAACCAGCCAAGUAGCGUGAAGGAUGACUGCCCUAUGGGUUGUAGACUUCUUUUAUAUGGGAAUAAAAUGUUCCACGUGUGGGAUUUUGUAUGUACCAUAUGAAUAAGGAACGGCUAACUCCGUGCCAGCAGCCGCGGUAAUACGGAGGAUCCGAGCGUGAUCCGGAUUUAUUGGGUUUAACGGGAGCGUAGGUGGAUUGUUAAGUCAGUUGUGAAAGUUUGCGGCUCAACCGUACAAUUGCAGUUGAAACUGGCAGUCUAGAGUACAGUAGAGGUGGGCGGAAUUCGUGGUGUAGCGGUGAAAUGCGUAGAGAUCACGAAGAACUCCGAUGGCGAAGGCAGUUCACCGGACUGCAACUGACACUGAGGCUCGAAAGUGUGGGGAGCAAACAGGAUUAGAUACCCCUGUAGUC